CUCAGAGAAGGAUCCCGUGCACUCACAAUAGAAUCCUCGGAGGCUUUCCUAUCCAGGACCCUGCUGCCUCUGACCGCACCCCAAGCCUUCUCUGCUGCUCACAUGGGCUCCUCUCUCCUUUGUGCUUUUUGCCUUCUGUCCCCACUGCCUGGAAAACGUUCCCCUCACAUUUUGCAUGGCUGCUGCCUUCUCAUCACAGAGGUCUCAGGUCAACCAUCACUACCCCCAGGAGGCCUUCCUUGACUGCCCUAUCUCCUGUCACUGGCCUCCACUACCAGUCACUGCCAUGUUCACUUCCUUUUGUUGUCAUCUAGCACCUGUCCCUGUCUGAAUUGUAUCAUUUAUCUGUUAUUAUUUGUUUAUUCUGUUCCUGCCUGUCUCCCUGAGGCCAGGGACCUUGUCUGUCUUUAUUACUAUGCUGACCCUGGUGCUCAGCACUUAAUAAAGAAUCAUUAAAACAAAAUGAAUGAAGGACACUAAAGGCUGUCAUAGAAGUUACUUGGACAACACCACCCACCCCUGGGGGGUGGGGUGGUGGGAACUUGCUUGGUGAUGGCAACAAACAAACAAACACUUUCCCCUUCCCACUUCUCUUCCGGUAUUCCAGACAGGAGGAAUAAUGUACUGAUCUGCUGACAUUAAGAAGGACCCUAUUUUCAGAUUACUUCUUCAAAGGAGCAGCAUCUACAUUGGCAAGGCUGCCCUCUGGUGGUCGAACAUGUAGGAGCGAAUGGGAAGGAUGGAAACCCCAGUAGCCAGGAACCAGCCCAGCUGGCUGAGCCAACCACGCUCAAGAGACUGGCCAGCGAGCCAGGGAGUAGGUUGGAGCUGUCUCCACACCUUGCUCCAUCCCUCUCAAGAUGAGGGGAUUCUAACCAGCUCUCCACCUGCACUAGGCCCAAACCAGAGGAAAUAACAUAAACCAGGACUCCUUGGAAAAGCCCUCGGAUGCCUCAGUGCCCCUCCCUGGAGUUUUGUCCUGUGCAGUGGCCGUCCAUCUUGCAUCCUUUAGAAGAAGCCUCUUGAAAGCGAGAACCAACAGGCCCAGGAAUCCCUGGAUCCACCUCACCUCCACUUGGCAUUACAUACUCAGCCCUUUGAAGUCUUCGGCCCUGAUACGGCUGAUGCGGUUGAAGCGUGCAUACAG
rnacentral:lncRNA from 10 species